GUGGACACAAGGGGGGGGGAUCUUUGAUUUCUCUUUUGGGAAGGGAAACCCCGGAACUCUGAUUGAGGUUUUCCCAGGUGUGCCAAUAUGACAACUCUAAUAAAAUGAACUUUGAGGAAUUGCUUGUCUUGGAAUUUAUUGGUUUGGAGUUGGCUAGUUGGAACCCUGACAUUAUAUUUUUUUUCCAAUGGAGAGGAGAGUUUGAAAGCGGACAAAUCCCUGCGGUUUAUAACUCUACAUAAAAUCAAGGUUUUGGAAGAGAACUCUGCAUUUCAUUUACCCUUAAAGGUCCCGCUCAAGGCUUGGUUGAGAUCAUAUACAUCGGAAGGCAAGUUUGAGUGGUUGAGUUCCCUUCCUGAAGGUUUCCCGCAGUCUGGCCACACAGAAAGUGUCAUAUUCCUGCAGGCCACACUCAGAUGGAAGCACAAAGCAUAUAGAAAAAGAAGUCAAGUUUCUUACAGAUUCCCGGGACCAGAGCUAUUUGAGUACUCUCCAGGGAUGUGAGCUGGACAAUGAAUCUUCAGUCAUGGAUGCCAUCUUUUUUUUCUCCACUGGAGAUCUUUCCCUGAUGCCUUUGCGUGAUCUCGCGGUGUUCCACAAUGGCGAUGUCUCCCAUCAGUUCGGAUUUACCAUUGGGCCAGUUUGCUUCAACUAAGCUCACCAAAACUUCAGCUAAACUCACCGGAGUCUCCCACUCCCCCUAGAAAAGAAAGACAAGAAGACUUGCAGGAGAAAAGGAAGGAAGAAGAUACGGGGAAGACACCUCCCUCCAUCGAUUCAGCCCAUUGUUCAAAGCCACUACUGUGACUCAUGGCUGCUCAGUGCCAUUUCCCAUACUUCCUUCCGAAGGAUGAAGAAAUAUUAUGUUUAUAAGAAUGCUAUUUUAAGUCCUGUUUUUUUCAUGUAUGUAUGUAUGUAUGUAUGUAUGUAUGUAUGUAUGUAUGUAUGUGUAUACCCUGUUUCUCCAACAAUACGGCCUCCCCCAAUAGGAAGUCCCAGCA
rnacentral:lncRNA from 1 species